CCAGAGAACUUAGCAGAGAUGCUUUGGUGCCUUCGGGAACUCUGAGACAGGUGCUGCAUGGCUGUCGUCAGCUCGUGUUGUGAAAUGUUGGGUUAAGUCCCGCAACGAGCGCAACCCUUAUCCUUUGUUGCCAGCGGUCCGGCCGGGAACUCAAAGGAGACUGCCAGUGAUAAACUGGAGGAAGGUGGGGAUGACGUCAAGUCAUCAUGGCCCUUACGAGUAGGGCUACACACGUGCUACAAUGGCGCAUACAAAGAGAAGCGACCUCGCGAGAGCAAGCGGACCUCAUAAAGUGCGUCGUAGUCCGGAUUGGAGUCCGCAACUCGACUCCAUGAAGUCGGAAUCGCUAGUAAUCGUGGAUCAGAAUGCCACGGUGAAUACGUUCCCGGGCCUUGUACACACCGCCCGUCACACCAUGGGAGUGGGUUGCAAAAGAAGUAGGUAGCUUAACCUUCGGGAGGGCGCUUACCACUUUGUGAUUCAUGACUGGGGUGAAGUCGUAACAAGGUAAGCGUAGUGCU
rnacentral:rRNA from 1 species